AGACCCGAAACCCGGUGAUCUAGCCAUGGGCAGGUUGAAGGUUGGGUAACACUAACUGGAGGACCGAACCGACUAAUGUUGAAAAAUUAGCGGAUGACCUGUGGCUGGGGGUGAAAGGCCAAUCAAACCGGGAGAUAGCUGGUUCUCCCCGAAAGCUAUUUAGGUAGCGCCUCGUGAAUUCAUCUCCGGGGGUAGAGCACUGUUUCGGCUAGGGGGCCAUCCCGGCUUACCAACCCGAUGCAAACUGCGAAUACCGGAGAAUGUUAUCACGGGAGACACACGGCGGGUGCUAACGUCCGUCGUGAAGAGGGAAACAACCCAGACCGCCAGCUAAGGUCCCAAAGUCAUGGUUAAGUGGGAAACGAUGUGGGAAGGCCCAGACAGCCAGGAUGUUGGCUUAGAAGCAGCCAUCAUUUAAAGAAAGCGUAAUAGCUCACUGGUCGAGUCGGCCUGCGCGGAAGAUGUAACGGGGCUAAACCAUGCACCGAAGCUGCGGCAGCGAACGUAUCACCCAAGACAACUUUACGGAGUUGACGAUUGACGGAGCGAAGCGACGUCAAAGCGUUCAUUAAAGUCGAGUUGGCUUAGGGAUACGUUCGUUGGGUAGGGGAGCGUUCUGUAAGCCUGUGAAGGUGUGUCGUGAGGCAUGCUGGAGGUAUCAGAAGUGCGAAUGCUGACAUAAGUAACGAUAAAGCGGGUGAAAAGCCCGCUCGCCGGAAGACCAAGG
rnacentral:rRNA from 1 species